UACAGAGGUCUCAAGCGUUGUUCGGAUUCAUUGGGCGUAAAGGGUGCGUAGGCGGCGCGGUAAGUCGGGUGUGAAAUCUUGGAGCUUAACUCCGAAACUGCAUUUGAUACUGCCGCGCUUGAGGACUGGAGAGGGGACUGGAAUUUACGGUGUAGCGGUGAAAUGCGUAGAUAUCGUAAGGAAGACCAGUGGCGAAGGCGGGUCUCUGGACAGUUCCUGACGCUGAGGCACGAAGGCCAGGGGAGCAAACGGG
rnacentral:rRNA from 1 species